rnacentral:misc_RNA from 1 species
GACUGUCGACAAAUUAUUUUUGAAUGGCAUUCUGUGUCCUGUGUUGAUGGUGUUUUAUUUUUCUAAAAAUGGAUCAAAAGCGUUUUAAUAUUUUAGAGCAAGACUUUGGCAACUUAAAAUAUAUUGGAUUUGUGCAAUAAUUCAGUACAAUUGCAACUAUUUAACGGUAAUUUUAAACUUGGCAGUUGAAAGUGAAAGUUACUGCACAUAACCUGUCUAUGUUCCGCUAGUUUACUUCUGCUAUUGAAGAUUGCCAGCUAAGCAUGGGUGUUACAAUGCAGACCCGAGAAAUAUUUACAAUAUUAGUGCUGUGUUUAUUGUGGUAUAUUGUUAGUUCAAGCAAUAAUGUAGUUGGAAAAAUGCUACUAAAUGACUUUCCUUAUCCAAUGACUGUCACAAUGGUGCAAUUGCUAUCAAUAACAGUUUAUUCGGGUCCCUUCUUCAAUAUGUGGGGCAUAAGGCGAUUUGUCGACAUAAGUUGGUCUUAUUAUUUAAAACUUAUCAUACCGCUUGCUUUUGGAAAGUUUAUGGCAUCGGUUUUUACACAUGUCAGCAUAUGGAAAGUGCCAGUUUCGUAUGCUCAUACAGUUAAAGCCACCAUGCCUCUAUUCACAGUAGUUCUAUCUCGCUUUAUCAUAGGAGAAAAGCAAACUGUCAAGGUUUAUUUAUCUCUGGUGCCUAUAAUUUUGGGAGUGGCAAUAGCCACCUUAACUGAGCUGUCGUUCGAUAUAACUGGUCUGCUUAGUGCCCUAGCUGCCACCCUACAGCACUCGUUGCAGAAUAUAUUCUCGAAAAAAGUUCUAGCUGAUACUGGCAUUCACCAUCUAAGGCUGCUGCAUAUGCUGGGCAGAUUAUCGUUGAUGCUAUUCUUGCCAAUUUGGAUGUAUUUCGAUCUGCAGCAUGUCUACAAUCGAUCAAUUCUGGCGACAGAAGAACGCGGCCAUAUUUUGGCCCUACUCUUCACCGACGGCGUUCUGAACUGGCUGCAGAACAUCUUGGCAUUCAGCGUGAUGUCGCUGGUGACGUCACUCACCUACGCGGUGGCAUCGGCGUCGAAACGCAUCUUUGUGAUUGGCGCAUCGCUGCUCAUACUCGGCAACCCUGUUACGCUGACCAAUAUGGCCGGCAUGGGUCUGGCUAUUGUUGGCGUCUUGAGCUACAAUAAGGCGAAAUACGAUGCCAGAGAAUCGAGUAAAAGGAAAACUGUGCUACCAUUUACCAACGAAAGCCUGUGGAAAAGCGGCAGCAAUUCGAUACCCUACCGACCUCUGGAAAAUUCCAACGGCUCAACAAUCAUCAACAACAACAGUAAAUUGGCGCAAUUUGUUUGAAGAAAAUUGUCGACAUUUUUUAGGUUUUGCACCGAUUUUUUGGUGAUUCACUACUAGUUGAAUACUGAUGAUCAGUGUCUACUUGAGGAUUAUAGGAAAAAUGUCAAUGAUUCAUUGUGUAAUUGAAAUGCCAAGUGCCCUAUCUUGUUUUGAUCUAUCCAAGAAGGAGAAGUUGGGGUUGAUCUGAUGAAGGUAAAGAAGAAGGGGGUGAAGGAGAAUUAGAAGAUGAAUAUGAGAAUGAGAACAAGAAAACUGUCGGCCAGAAAUCCUUUGAAGAAAUUUUCUCGUAUGAUAUUAUAUUUAGGAAACGUAACAUACAUUCAAUUAAUGUGAUUUGAAGUAAAUCAGAAAGGCUGUUUUAAAACUCAAAUUUUAUGACAUUUUCUUAUACUUUGUUUUUCCACUUAGGUAUCCAUAAUUCUGUUUGAUUUUUCCUUUUUGACUGAAAUUAAAAUCUAUGGUUUUGAAGUUGAGACUGGAAAUUAAAGUUACAAAAUGCUUUACAUUUA